rnacentral:rRNA from 1 species
UACGUAGGGGGCAAGCGUUGUCCGGAUUCAUUGGGCGUAAAGAGCGUUGUGAUGGACGGGCCAGGUAGGUCGGUUGGUGAAAACUGGAGGCUCAACCUUCAGAGGUCGAACCGAAAACCAUUCUGGCUAGAGUCCGGGGAGAGGAGAGUGGAAUUCCGUGGUGUAGCGGUGAAAUGACGCAGAUAUCAGGAAGAACACCCGUGGCGAAAGCGGCUCUCUGGAACGGUACUGACGCUGAGACGCGAAAGCGUGGGGAGCGAACAGG